rnacentral:ribozyme from 1 species
UCGAUGCUGCUGCUCUUCUCUGGGGUAAAAUCCGAAACCUUUGGAAGUUUCUACAGGUUCUUCUAUCCAACUUCCAUUUCUAUAUGUCCUCCUCGUACAGAGAGGUAGCAUGUACCGUCGUAUAUCCAAGCUUGGAUAAAUGGACUUGCUUCAACAUCUGGAGCGGAUUUUGGUAAAUGACUAAACAAGAGGA